rnacentral:tRNA from 1 species
GCCUGGGUGGCUCAGUCAGUUGGGCGUCUGACUUCAGCUCAGGUCAUGAUCUCCUAGUCUGUGAGUUCGAGCCCCGCAUCGGGCU